rnacentral:rRNA from 1 species
AUGAACCUAUUGGCCUGGAACUGUCGAGGCUUGGGGUUGGACUCGACAGUUGGCGAACUCCGUGACCUGAUUAGGUCCUACAACCCAGUGGUGGUAUUUCUAUGUGAAACAAAGAAGAGGGCAAGAGCUAUGGAGAAGAUCAAAUGGAGUCUAGGCUUCAGGAAUGGUGUGGCGGUUGACUGCGAGGGCCAGAGUGGAGGAUUGGCUUUAUGGUGGCGUGAU